AUCCAGGUGACGAGUUCCAAAUAGGACGAAACGCGCAUUCUGGAU
rnacentral:hammerhead_ribozyme from 1 species